rnacentral:tRNA from 1 species
GGGGGCGUAGUUCAAUUCGGUAGAAUCCCUGAUUCCAGUCCAGGUGGUUGCCCGUUCAAAUCGGGUCGUCCUCA